rnacentral:rRNA from 1 species
CCUACGGGUGGCAGCAGUGGGGAAUAUUGGACAAUGGGCGAAAGCCUGAUCCAGCCAUGCCGCGUGUGUGAAGAAGGCCUUCGGGUUGUAAAGCACUUUCAGUGGGGAAGAAAGCCUUGGGGCUAAUACCCUCGAUGAAGGACAUCACCCACAGAAGAAGCACCGGCUAACUCCGUGCCAGCAGCCGCGGUAAUACGGAGGGUGCGAGCUUUAAUCUGGAAUUACUGGGCGUAAAGCGCGCGUAGGCGGUCUGAUAAGCCGGUUGUGAAAGCCCCGGGCUCAACCUGGGAACGGCAUCCGGAACUGUCAGGCUAGAGGGCAGGAGAGGAAGGUAGAAUUCCCGGUGUAGCGGUGAAAUGCGUAGAGAUCGGGAGGAAUACCAGUGGCGAAGGCGGCCUUCUGGACUGACACUGACGCUGAGGUGCGAAAGCGUGGGUAGCAAACAGGAUUAGAUACCCUGGUAGUC